GGAAAGAGGUUUCAAAGAGCAAGUCUCAGUGUGAAUGAAGAAAACAAAAGACUCACACCACUAGUAGUAAGAAUACUAAUAUAGGAUGCUUGAGUGUUCUGAAGCUGAGUUACCCUGCUCUUCAACUUUUUGGAAGGCUGACCUACCUAUCAUGUGUAAGACCACAUGACAUUAAAACCACCAUUAGGCAGAAAAAAAAAGUCUGGAUGAGAUGUCAGAGGAGAAAUGAAAAUGAGUUGUUAGCCCCUGUUUGUUGAAUUUAAAUUUGUUGGCAAGUCAGCUUGCUUUUUCAAUUUACCUUUCGUGGAUUCCGUGCCAACAGUUAAUGAGGACCCACACUACUCUCUGAAAAGCGAGUUGAAAGUUGCUUCCUUAACCUGUUGCUCUCGGCACUCACCUGAGAAGGAGCACGUGUUGGGUGUGAAUGCUUUUGAACAGGAAGGACUUUAACCUGAGACAGAGCCAGAGGGGACAGGUAUCUCUUCUGUCUCCAGUCACAUGCACUAGCACUUACUACUGCUUUUACAAAGCUUGAUUUCUUAAGGUGUGUUCUAUUAGCACCUAAAGCUUUAGGGCAAAUUUCUGGAGCCUGAUGAGGCUGGUGGAUCUGUUACCCAGCCUGCUAAGGCAAGUCUGUCUAUAUUUGCAGGAAUAGAAAAUAGUGUGUUUGGAUGGAAAAAAUGCCUAUUUUUAUCUACUUGAAAGUGGUAAGAUGGUGUUGAUGUGACAGUAUUCAGCAAUGUAAUUUUGGAUUUAACUAUGUGAAAGCACAUGCAGCUCUUUAGAGUAAAACAAGUUGACAUUUAGAAGUAGCUCAACCAGGUGUUACAUUUGAUAGGCUAUUUGAUUUCACCUGCCACUGCACUCCGAAUGUUCAGAGUUUGAAUUUGACACAUGAAGGAUUGUUUAUCUGUGAGCUGCCAUGCAGCCUAAGCUGGGCUUUCAACAGUAUCUGAAUUUCUGUGAUGGCAUGCUGCUGUUGAAGGGGUUGUGGUCCUGCUUGGUUGUUGGAGCAAGCUCUGAUGAUCACAGAACACUUCUGUGAGAUGAUGUGACGUGCAUGGAGACUGAAAACAGGUAAGCUGAAGCGCAGAAGGAGGUUCAGUCUGAUCUGCAUAGUUGUAACUGGGACUUCUGACUUGGGGAAUUUAUGAUACCAUGUAGCUGUUAGGAAAGGGGUUCACCUAUUCCCAUCAACCAAUUACCAAAUAAUUUAUUUUAGCUUUGAUUUAACCUUGAUUUGAUUUGAGUUUAUACUGUUGAAGUGGAAGGUGUUGCUUCCUGCUGACAAUCCCCAGAGUUUUUCCUUUUUCAGUAGUAUUUAAAAGCAAUCAAGGCUCUCAUGAACCUGAAGAGCGUUGUGCUUAUGUUCAAUGUGGUACUUUCAAUUAACUGUAAUUAGUGAAGUCUUGACACAAACUGGAGUACCAAUCUCUGUGUAAAUAAUUCAUUCUUUGUUAUAAGUAAGUUCUCCCUCAUCUGGAAAAAUUUCUGUUAUGCCAAAUAAGCAUUGGAGAUGGAACAAGUGAAAAGCUGACUUAAAACCACCAGGGAUAGUGAGCAGAAGUAUGCAACCUUCUGCUUAAUUGAAUAGCACGUGGCAUAAUGUUAAGACAUACCAUAUAGCAGCUGUGAAAUAGUUAGAGUGAAUGAAAGCUUGGGUAAAACUGUGGUAAGGAAAUAGCCAGGUAUCUCAUUUUCAUACACAGGACUUUAUGAAGUGUUUCUUCAGGAGGUAAAGAAAAACACUAUGAGGGAAAGCAGCAUGUGAAUGUCCCUGUAGUUUUUAACAUUUGAAUUUCCUUCUCUACCCCUCGCAACAAGUUGAACGUUGUAGUUCAUGAACAGUUGUACAUUGCAGAAGAUGACAAAGAAUUGCCUGUAUUCACAGCUUGCCUCUGUGGCUUCUUUUGUUCUUGCCUUAGCUGCGAAGAUCAUCCUGUUGGGAUCACUGAUCCUGCCAUUUUCUAGAGCACUGGCCGUUUCUUACUGCCAUCUCCCAUUGCCAGUCUUGACUGUUGCAUCAUUUGGGGAAAGUUGCUUCAUUUCUGUAAGCUUUUCUUCUUUUCUGAUCUUUUCCUAAGGGACUACCUCUCAGGCAAUAGCUUAGCAAUUGCCUGCCUCGCUUGAACUAUCAGAAGGUAGGUGCAGAUGUCUGACGUGAUCGCUUCUGGGGACAAAUAGUCUUAUCCUAGUAUGUGCACCUAAAACAAGUCACUGCCUUUGGUGGUGUUUUCCCCUCUCUGUUGACUAUAGAAGGCUAUGGUGUCUAGUACAAACGUUGCAUCUAAUUCUCAGUUGCUCAAAGUAACAGGAAAAGAAUCUCGUCGUGACCGUGGUUUUAAUGUCUGGGCACUGUGGAUGGUCCAAGUGGUGAGGGAACAUGCUCAAUAAAGAUGUAUGCUCACAGCUCACUGUACUAUACCCAUGAAAACUGGUGACUCCAGAAGGAUGUGUGUUGUGUUGCUUCAGCUUCCAAAUGACUUGCAGGUAUCUUACCUUAACGUUCUUAAGACCAGCCUUUGUAAUUCUGCUUAUAUAUUCACAAUGGUAGUAAGUGCCAACCUGUCAUUUGUUCCCUAGGCUUCAUGCCUAUUUUUUUUUUUUUGUGAAUGGUUUUGAAGUAACUCCCAUAAGCUGCAGCUUAUUCAUGUGGGAGGUAAGGGUGUGCUAGUAAUCAAAUUUGAUAUGCCCUGUCUAACAGCUGCCAGGCUGUGUUCUCACAGCAUUCAGCACAGAGCUCCUGGGUGGCCGUGGCUUUCUCGCAUGCACCAACACUUAUCCCAAUAAACAAUAAAAAAAAGUUGUAUCUAUUCUGCCUCCAUUCAGUGCAGUUUAGAUGACAUUUGUGUCUCAUGGCAUUCUCCUGCCUGGCGGAUGAAAGGCUCUGGAGCCAGCCUAAGAAUGUCUGCUGCCUUCAGCUAUUAGAAGUAGAGGUCAAGCUAAAUUACGACACUUCGGAUUGCUCUUCAACACUCUGGUGGAAUUCAGAAGAGGAGGGAGAACUGUCACUUUUCCUGCUUCUCUACAGCUGUUUCAUAGAAUCAUAGAAUCACACAGAUUAGAAAAGACCUUAAAGAUCAUUGAGUCCAACCAUGAAUUUUCCUUCUAAGUUCUUGUGAAUUCAGCUGAUGAAUAUAACUGGGUUAUAGUAUUAGUCAUUGUUUCUUACCUUUGUCUAGUUUGAAGUCUGCUGCUGCUUUGCUUGUAGUCUCAGGAGCCUGUCCUUACCAUUGGCCAUUCUACAAUUAAAGAUCUUAGUUUUCUCAACAAACACUGCAUUGUGCUAACAUGAAGGAAUUUCCCCCUUAUUUUAUCUUCCUCUGUAGUUGGUACAUGAAAGUGACAGUGCUAUCUGUAAUGAGUGAUAUUUGACCCUUUGACUGCAAGGGGAACAAAAUGAGCGGAUGUAGGCUGAAAAAAAAACAGAAAGCAAUGGGCAUUUAGGAGGAUGAUGCCCACCAAGUGUCCUAAUUUGUGAUGCCUUUGCAAUCAUGGGCAUCUCCAUUAUGUUCUUCAAGUGAUGACCUAUCAUUGUAUAGUAUAUUAAUAAAAAAGGAAUGUGUAGUUUGACUAGAAAGCUGUAUUUGUCUCAAACUUCUGUUGCAUAGGGUGUACUAGAAGUACUAGAAGAACUAGGCAUGUCCUGAUUCCUGUCUUUUCUCUGGAGCAUCCGAUUAUGUGCUUCAGGAACACUUUAGAUUUGUAAAAUGAUUCUUGAACACUGUGUUGCUUACCUGAGACUAACAGCUAGGCUCCACAUUAUGUUUCCUUUCAAGCUUUUCCUUUCCACUCCCAUGCACUGUAUAUGCUCUUAGGCACAAAUAAGCAGUUUAAACAAAUAUCUCUGCUUCCUUGGCUUUUAUUUUCAUUGAUGCAGAUAAAAUGUAGACAGUGUAAACCUGGAGAAUAAGAGAUGACCAGAUGAAUGCUCCUCAUUUGCAGCUGGCUGUACGAUCUGUUGUGGAUUCAUUGUAUUUUGGACUGGGUCAGCAUUUACUGCAGUGUCAGUCCUUACAACAUCUUUCCAAAGAAUAGCUGGAAGUCUGUUUCUACCUCUUGCUUGAUUGUGGAUUGACAUGAGUGGCAAUUUAUGACAGAUUUCUUUCAGUACUUUCAAUUUAUGCAUCCAGCAGGGUACUUUAGAAAACCAACUGUUGUUGCAGGAAAUACACAAAUGAGAGUAGAAGUUCUAAUGUUUCUAGGCUGUGUAUUCUGUUGCUUAUUAAUUGUGCAUCUUGUUUAAUAGCCUGCAUCACUGUCUGUGCUCCUACUUUUACUAUGGCUUGCUUGCAGGAUGUUUUAGUAUGUCUGUUCAUCUAGUCAUAUUGUAUGUCUAUUAUGCAUUAAAUGAUAUUGGCUAUUAAAGGAUUACAGCCAGGAUGUAAUUAUGGCCCUGUGGAAUAAAGUUU
ensembl:lncRNA